CCUACGGGCGGCAGCAGUGAGGAAUAUUGGUCAAUGGACGAGAGUCUGAACCAGCCAAGUAGCGUGAAGGAUGACUGCCCUAUGGGUUGUAAACUUCUUUUAUAUGGGACUAAAAUGUUCCACGUGUGGGAUUUUGUAUGUACCAUAUGAAUAAGGAUCGGCUAACUCCGUGCCAGCAGCCGCGGUAAUACGGAGGAGCCGAGCGUUAUCCGGAUUUAUUGGGUUUAAAGGGAGCGUAGGUGGAUGGUUAAGUCAGUUGUGAAAGUUUGCGGCUCAACCGUAAAAUUGCAGUUGAAACUGGCAGUCUUGAGUACAGUAGAGGUGGGCGGAAUUCGUGGUGUAGCGGUGAAAUGCUUAGAUAUCACGAAGAACUCCGAUUGCGAAGGCAGUUCACUGGACUGCAACUGACACUGAGGCUCGAAAGUGUGGGUAUCAAACAGGAUUAGAUACCCGUGUAGUC
rnacentral:rRNA from 1 species